CCGUCAGUGCUCAGAGCUGCAGGCAGUCCUCACGGAGCCUGCAGGGGCCCCACGGGCCUGGCACGAAACAGGCCGCACCCGUAUGGUACUCAUUCUCACGGUUCCCAGGGCCCAAGUUCACUUUUCAUUCCUUCAAAAGGCCUCUUCAGCUCAACACAGACUUCCACAGAUGGCUUAGGGUCAUCUCAGAAACGUGUGGGUCAGACGGGGACUGCUCCUGCAGGCCCAGAAGUCACUUCACACACAAGGGUCACACCAGCUCAGGUUAGCAAGACACAUGUCCACUCAUACCAUUUGAUGGAUGUCUACAGAAUGACGGCCAGGUGCGGCCAGGUGGUGGAGGAGCCUGCCCCAGAAGCAUCCACUCUGGGGAAGGGGGAGACAGCAUAGGUGCAUGUCAGGGUAUGCUUAGGAUGCCAUGGAGUCAGCGGGGGCACCACCCAUGCUCAGAAACCCACGGCUACCGGGUCCCUAGGAAGCCCAUGCCAGCAGACACCUUUAUAUGCUAGGAGAAGGACGUAAGAACAUCCUGCUACUGAAGGCGGACCUGAGGGGUCCGGCCUUUCAAUCACGUGGGCUCGCCACCCAGGCACAGGACCUGAGCCGUGGCGGUGAAACCUGCGGACUCUGGGGAUGACCGAAUGAGGGCCUGUGGGCGGGACCGCAGCCCUGACUGACUUCAGCCCAGCACUGUGGGGCGCUCCCUGAGGCCCCGGGGUCACUCCUAUUUGCAGACUCCUGGCUCACAGCAGCACGCUUGCUGCUGCAGCUGUUUCUGGGAAGGCAGCACUUCUCACGUUCAAUCUCAAACUUCUGAACGUGACUUUUGUACGGUUUUGGGUAGGACAGUCAGGUAAAGAGCAACCAUACUCCCCCCCCCCCCCCAGAUACCUGUCACCAGUACACGUGGGAGAGCUAACUUGUUGGAGCUAAAGAGGAUGAGCAAGUGGUCAGGCCAGUCCCCUACUUGAUGGGCUGAUGAGGUCAGC